GGUCCCAUCGUCUAGUGGCCCAGGACACCGCCCUCUCACGGCGAAAACGCGGGUUCGAACCCCGCUGGGACCGCCA
rnacentral:tRNA from 2 species